GAACAGCUGAGGUUAAAAUGGUAAAGUGACUUUUCGUGUCCCCAUAAACAAAGACGGUAAUGCCCCUCCCCCUAAUUAAACCACAACUUUUCAUUGCAAACCCUAAAACUUACUGCUACAUUGUUUCUCUCUCUUCUUCCUCCCGUUUUCUUCCUCUACGAAUACCUUCGAUCUUCUUCGAAAUUCUUCAUCCUCUCCUUCGAUCCUCUUCAUAGUCUCCUUCGAUCUUCUUCCUCUCCUUCAAUUUGAAAAGCUUCAAAUCAAACAAUCGGAAGGUGAGAAGAAGAAGAAAAAGAUGACGUCUGGGUUUUCCGAAGACGUGUUCUACGGCAGAGGCGGUGCAGGGACCGACGGAGGGAGGGCGAGUUUCCGACAACAACAGCAACAAUAACGGCAGCAACAAUCGCGAUGCACACCCGAAGGGGCAGCGGACAUCCUUGAAUGGACAGAUAUCCCAAUUUCAGGAGACAAUUGCACUGAAUUACCACUACUUUUCUAGAACCAGGAUGAGCUAACCCAGUACCUCGCAAAAUCAGUCUUUCUAAUAGACAUUGGAGGCAAUGACUACCUCAACAACUAUCUUCAACCUGAGAGAUAUGACAGUAGUCGUAUAUACGAUGGGGAAGGCUUCGCUGAUCUUCUCAUGAAUACACUUCACAGAUAAUAGAAAGGAGAGAUGCAAAGGCACAAACAAAUGAUCAAGCUUGGUCCAAAUUAAGCAGGAGGGCAGAAAAAUGUGUACGCUAAAAGGCUCUGGAGGGCUUUCCAGUUUGCCUUUAAGGUGUAUUCCUUUGCAGGAGGAUAAGAUGAGCGCGCAGAUAGCCUGACAAAGGGAACUGGCUCAAGAAAUAGAGACCGAUCCCAUUGAAGAUUAACUCAUCUACUGCAAUUACGAUAUUGAACCUAUUUAUAGUACAUACACUAGAUUUUUUAUUUUUAUUUUUUUUCUUAAGUCUUUACUUUUUAAUUCUUUCCUAUUCAAGCAUAACUGAUUGGCAACGGUCAUUCUGAUAAUGCACCAGUAUCCUUGAACAGCAAAUUUCGUAGAUGUUAGAUUCAGGCUGAGCUUGAUGGUAUGGAAGGAAGUUCUACUCCCCAAUAUGGAGUGUGAUAAUGUAUUAGUUAAGUAUUUUGGGGAUAAAUAUAUUGGGAUAAACUCCUUACUUGACAUCCAUGUAUUUUUGGGUGUAAGUGCUAACAAUGCAAAACAACCGAUUAUUGUAAAGGGAUGAGUAUUAGUGUAUUACAUUGUUGCACUAUAUGAUAGAGAUUUUUUAAAUAUAAA